UACGUAGGGGGCGAGCGUUGUCCGGAUUUAUUGGGCGUAAAGAGCUCGUAGGCGGUUUGGCAAGUCGGGUGUGAAAACUCCGGGCUCAACUCGGAGACGCCACUCGAUACUGCCAUGACUCGAGUCCGGUAGGGGAGUGCGGAAUUCCUGGUGUAGCGGUGAAAUGCGCAGAUAUCGGGAGGAACACCAAUUGCGAAGGCAGCUCGCUGGGACGUCACUGACGCUGAGACGCGAAAGCGUGGGGAGCAAACGGG
rnacentral:rRNA from 1 species